CAUUUACACUAGUCAUGCUUUUCGCUUUGGGGGGCUUUGUCCUGUCAAGAGAAAAUAUAAAGAAAUGGUGGAUAUGGGGCUACUGGAUAUCACCUUUGAUGUAUGGGCAGAAUGCAAUUGUAGUUAAUGAAUUCCUUGGCAAGAGUUGGUCACAUGUUCUUCCAAACUCAAACGAAUCAUUAGGAGUUGAAAUUCUGAAAUCUCAUGGAUUUCGUACGCAUGCAUAUUGGUAUUGGAUUGGCGCAUGAGCAUUGGC